UUUUUAGGCUCCUUUAGUUUGACUGCACCUUCUUGUCCUUGCUGCAGUGAUAAAGGGUCCAGCUACUUUCUGCAGAACUGCAUCUGGGAAACUCAAAUUAGAGCGAUAACUGUGAAUAGGGCAAUUCAACAACUGCAGCCUGACAGAAGCAAGGCAACUAACUCUUCAGAAACCAUGAGGAUGAAGAUCCAUGCUAUCCUACAAGGCAAACAACCAGGAGAAGCGAAAUGCCACCAGCAGGGUAGCUCUGGAACUUGUAGAGCUGAAGUGGAGAAAUCAGGCAAGUGUUGAACCUACAUGUUAAGACACUGUUCAGAUAUAUUUAUUAUCUGGAUGGAUCUUGCCUGAUUAAUGCAAUUGUGCACAGUACUGAGGAAAAGCUAACUAGGUAAGGCGAACAAUGGUGAUUUAAAUAAAUAAAUCCAUAUAAAUGUACUGACUUCCAAAAGUAUAUACUGUAUUACAAGUUGACUGUUUAAAAGCUGUAAUAACCUAUUGGCAUUUUUUUCUCUCUCAGCAGAUGGUGAGCUAUUUUAGAAAAGGACUGACAUGAAUUGAUUAUAGUGUGUUUGUGUGCAUCACCACUUAGAAUAGUACCCCAUGUGUAAUAGUACUCCAUAUAUGUUUGUUGAAGAAUUGAAAAAAAAAAUAAAACAUAUAUUGUAAUUCCUCAACUGCCAAGUAGCUUUAACAUUGAUAGAGUUUGAACCAAACAAGACAAAUUUUGAUGUUUAGGUAAAAUAAUAUAUAUUUUGGCUCUUAAUUUGCUUUGGUAGUACAUAAAUUGAUUGCCAUUUAAAUGGAAAAAUAAUAGUUUCAAAUAUCAGUCUCUAGAGAAACAGAUUUACAGAAUUCCAACCAGGUAGAACUCUAAAGAAAUGAGUUGAAAUACUUCCAUGGUAGAAAUAUAAUUAAAAACAAGUAUUAAUUUUUGUGUGUAUCACACAUUAGGGAACUCUAAGUAAUAAGUAUGCCAAAAAUAAAUAGGGUCUAACACCACUGACAUUGAAGUUAUAAAAAUCAACUUCAUAAAAAGAGAAAAAUGUAUUAAAUCUCUGACUAUAUAUACAAAUAAUUGUUAUAAAGUAUUAUAUAUUUAAUGUUAUACAAAUAUGGAAAAGAAAUGGAAAAUGUAUGUGUGAUAUUUAUAUCUUAUCAUAAAUAAAUCUCUCUUCAGUGCUUGAAUACUCACUCAUCUUGUAUAUUGUGUGAAUUACCUCAGCAUCUGCACGGCAAAAAUUACUGUGUUUUCAAAUCCAAACAGCUAACGAUUGAAAAAAGACUUUAAGAGCCACCAUUUGAACAUUCAAUAAUGUUUUGUUUGCCUUAACAGCUGAUUCAGAAUGCAACAGACUCUGUGGAGUUGAUUCAGGGUUAGAAAUGUAUAAUAGACAUAGUGAUUAGAG
rnacentral:lncRNA from 1 species